GGGAGAGAGACAAAGAGAGAGAGAGAGAGGUUUUGAAAGCAUUGAUAUGGAGUCUACAUAUUCACCCUGACCCCCAUUCCCUGUUAUCAUGGAAGCAUGCUGCCCUCCAAGGCUUUUGAAUUUGCCACUGUGAAGAGCAUGCAUGGAAUCUUCCACUGUGGCCUUGCAUUGCCUCCUGUCUUCGUAGCGGAGCUUCUUUAUCUGACCCGUGCGUGUGCCUCUGAUGAGCAGCCCUUCAUCGCAGCUCUGCGGCCUCCUCCUAGGCCCCUGCCUUCAGCUCUCCAGUUCAUUUCAUUGCCACCCGUGGGCUUGGAGGGCCACCUGACGCUCUCUCCCUUGGGUCCUCUGUGACUCCAGAGCUCCUCCCCUUCUGGGGCGCCCACAUCUGUGACACACUUGUUUGCCCAGUGCAUUUUCUGCACUUAGAGUUCCUCUCGUGCUCUCGUAUUUCCAUUUAAAGCCCUCUCGAGAGGUCUGUCUCCUGCCAGCAGCAUUCCUUCUAGUUUACUAGAACUCCAUUUCUUAUCCUGCCGGGAAUCCAGCCAUGGAGUGAGCUUCAGCACAGCCUCUCUGCAGUCUCUUGUCUCCUCCAAAAUUGUGGCCUCUGGUUGUGAGCAGUGGGCAUCCUGAGUCAGUGAGAGCAGUAGUUAGCUUGCAGCAGCUUCUCCUCUCCCCCUAAGUGAGCCUUUCUUCCUCUUCCUCCUCUUUCAGCCUCAUCCUGUCUUGGGUCCAUUUGACAGAUAAUGGCACCUUCAGGCCUCGUCUUUUGUGUGGCAUCUGUGCCUGACUGGUCAGAAAUUACUUGUGAAGCAACAUAGGGGGUUGUUGGUUGGGUCCACUUUUAGGAUGAAGUCAGAAGGGCUCGCGAGUGAUGCUUGGCCAAUAAGAAUGUAUUGAUUUGAUUUACUAAUUAAUUUCAUUUCCAGACACCAAUAUAUGCAUAGCCUUGUUUGAAGAAAAUGAAGGAGAACCAUUUUGUAAAUGGCAAUGAGUGUAAGACACUUACAUAUCUUCCUGCUCUUCCUGGCGCAGGCUUCUGCGCUCCCUGACUCUGCUUUUGUUAAAGGUGUCUGGGAAGGCAUCUGUCCUUUG